GAUGAACGCUGGCGGCGUGCCUAAUACAUGCAAGUCGAGCGAACAGACGAGGAGCUUGCUCCUCUGACGUUAGCGGCGGACGGGUGAGUAACACGUGGAUAACCUACCUAUAAGACUGGGAUAACUUCGGGAAACCGGAGCUAAUACCGGAUAAUAUAUUGAACCGCAUGGUUCAAUAGUGAAAGACGGUUUUGCUGUCACUUAUAGAUGGAUCCGCGCCGUAUUAGCUAGUUGGUAAGGUAACGGCUUACCAAGGCAACGAUGCGUAGCCGACCUGAGAGGGUGGUCGGCCACAUUGGAACUGAGACGCGGUCCAGACUCCUACGGGAGGCAGCAGUAGGGAAUCUUCCGCAACGGGCGAAAGCCUGACGGAGCAACGCCGCGUGAGUGAUGAAGGUCUUCGGAUCGUAAAACUCUGUUAUUAGGGAAGAACAAAUGUGUAAGUAACUAUGCACGUCUUGACGGUACCUAAUCAGAAAGCCACGGCUAACUACGUG
rnacentral:rRNA from 1 species